CUCUCUCUCUCUCUCUCUCUUGCUAUAUAUCUCAUUCAUUUUCUGGUUGGUAUGCGUUUUGCACUAGCCACUAGGAGUGUAGUUUAUCAACGAUGACCAACGUACCAAGGUCUCUGAGUUACUCUUCUCUAACCCUUUUCAAGCAAGCCAUAGCUGCCUCAGAUCCUUGGCCGUUUUCCUUCGUUUUCUUGUAAGAUUUUCUCUAGGAGAAGAUCAAAAGGGGACUAGGGUUAGGUUUGUUUUUGUAUUCCAUCUUUUAUUGCCUUUGUUUGCUGGUUUCUUUUCAGAUAUGGGCAGUGGAGAGAAGAGCCUAAGAAAUUUCCAUCUGCACCUGCCUCACCUUCACCUUCACCAUCAUCACCAUAGUCAUCAUGGUGGGAAGAAACAAGGGAUCAGAGAUGUUCCAAAAGGGUGCUUGGCAAUCAAGGUGGGCCAGGGUGAAGAGCAGCAGAGAUUUGUGGUGCCUGUGAUUUACUUCAAUCACCCACUGUUCAUUCAGCUCUUGAAGGAGGCUGAGGAAGAGUAUGGCUUUGAUCAGAAGGGCACCAUCACCAUCCCUUGCCACGUGGAGGAGUUUAGGUACGUCCAAGGAAUGAUUGACAGGGAGAAGUCCCUCCACCACCCUCACCACCACCACCACCAUCAUGUUGUUGGGUGCUUUAGGGUUUGAUUAUCAAUCAAAGAUUGUGGCUUUUCCCUGUAAAUUUGGAGUCUUUUUUUUUUCCUUAGCUUUUGUUUGUUGGUCCUUGUUAGUUGGAAGAUGAUGGCAAAGAUGAUGUGAUGAUGAUGAAAAAAAGAUAAAGAUGAAUGUGGCUUGCAAUUGUAGUCACUUUGUUAUUGUUAGGAAUCAAAAUGAUGAUAAAGAGAAAAUCAAAAUGCUUUUCUUUUAUAUAUAAUACUUUCCCCUUUCUCCCCUUUAUUCUAUAUUAGCAUUUGAUUUUUUUUUUUUGGGUUUUCUUUGUGAUAAGG
rnacentral:lncRNA from 1 species